rnacentral:rRNA from 1 species
CACGUAGGGCGCAAGCGUUGUCCGGAAUUAUUGGGCGUAAAGAGCUCGUAGGCGGACUGUCACGUCUGCUGUGAAAAGCUGGGGCUUAACCCUGGCCUUGCAGUGGAUACGGGCGGGCUAGAGUUCGGUAGGGGAGACUGGAAUUCCUGGUGUAGCGGUGAAAUGCGCAGAUAUCAGGAGGAACACCGGUGGCGAAGGCGGGUCUCUGGGCCGAUACUGACGCUGAGGAGCGAAAGCGUGGGGAGCGAACAGG